AAAAAACUCAACUAAUCACUUUGAUCAACCAUGAUUGCUAAAGGUAGUUUCACAACCAAAAAUCAGGAUAUCAACCACCUGUAUCAGUCCACUGCAAUACAUAGUAUAUUGUACCCUGAUUUAUCUCAAGAAGCAGCUAAACCUGGAGGCUGAUCAUUUUGAAGAACAUUUAUAUCUUCAGAAAGUAAAGAGAUGAAUGAAAGAGAAGAAGAAUAA
rnacentral:misc_RNA from 1 species